UUACCUUCGUAACUUUUUAACU
rnacentral:siRNA from 1 species